rnacentral:tRNA from 1 species
GCUUAGCUCAGUGGUAGAGCAAUCGGCUGUUAACCGAUCGGUCGUUGGUUCGAAUCCGACA